rnacentral:misc_RNA from 1 species
UUGACUUAUUUGUAAAUCAUACUCAGAGAGGCCAAUAAUAGUAAGAGUUGGGUUGUGUCCCUCCGGCGGGAGGCCCCCUGGAGAGGGGGCCCCGUCCGCCGAAGCAACGGUAUGGGGUAACGUUCGCGAUGGUUUGUGGGAGUUUUGCAACUCUUUAAUGAUCCCUCCGCUGGUUCACCAACGGAGA